GGACUACCGGGGUUUCUAAUCCUGUUUGCUCCCCACGCUUUCGCACCUCAGUGUCAGUGCCCGUCCAGGUAGCCGCCUUCGCCACCGGUGUUCUUUCCGAUCUCUACGCAUUUCACCGCUACACCGGAAAUUCCACUACCCUCUACGGGACUCGAGUCUACCAGUAUCGCCUGACGUUCCCAGGUUAAGCCCGGGGCUUUCACAGACAACUUAAUAAACCACCUACGUGCGCUUUACGCCCAGUAAUUCCGAUUAACGCUUGCACCCUCUGUAUUACCGCGGCUGCUGGCAC
rnacentral:rRNA from 1 species